UACGUAGGGUGCGAGCGUUAAUCGGAAUUACUGGGCGUAGAGCGUGCGCAGGCGGUUCGUUGUGUCGGUGGUGAAAUCCCCGGGCUUAACCUGGGAAUGGCCAUGGAAACUGGCGAACUGGAGUGCGGCAGAGGGGGGUGGAAUUCCGCGUGUAGCAGUGAAAUGCGUAGAGAUGCGGAGGAACACCGAUGGCGAAGGCAGCCCCCUGGGCUAGCACUGACGCUCAGGCACGAAAGCGUGGGGAGCAAACAGG
rnacentral:rRNA from 1 species